rnacentral:rRNA from 1 species
AACGUAGGGGGCGAGCGUUAUCCGGAAUCACUGGGCGUAAAGGGCGUCUAGGCGGUCCAGUAAGUCCUGCGUGAAAGCUCCCGGCUCAACUGGGAGAGCGCGUGGGAGACUGUUGGGCUAGAGACUCGGAGAGGGGUGUGGAAUUCCCGGUGGAGUGGUGAAAUGCGUAGAUAUCGGAAGGAACAUCAGUGGCGAAAGCGACUUCCUGGACCAAUACUGACGCUCAUGUGCGAAAGCGUGGGGAGCAAACAGG